rnacentral:rRNA from 1 species
GACAGAGGGUGCGAGCGUUUAAUCGGAAUUACUGGGGCGUAAAGCGUGCGCAGGCGGUUCGCCAAGUCAGGUGUGAAAGCCCCGGGCUUAACCUGGGAAUUGCGCUUGAUACUAGCGGGGCUUGAGUGCGGCAGAGGGGGGUGGAAUUCCACGUGUAGCAGUGAAAUGCGUAGAGAUGUGGAGGAACACCGGAUGGCGGAAGGCAGCCCCCCUGGGUCGACACUGACGCUCAUGCACGAAAGCGUGGGGAGCAAACAGG